rnacentral:lncRNA from 1 species
UCUUUUCUGAUUUCUCUAUUUUUUAUAUUUUUUUGUCUGUAAAAAAUACAAUCGGGUCUUGGGGCUUUUGUAGCCAAAAACACAAGUGAUUUGAUUUUUUGCUUGCUAUUUGGUUUAUCUCUGCUUUUGUUGUUUCUUGCCACUCCUGUCUUGUUCUAUUGCUUUGUAGGUAUCAGGGAGGAAGUCAACGAAGCAGAGGUUACCAUUUUGGUGCAAGAUGCCAAGAAUGGUGGUCUUCGGUCGUCGAGCGUGCUGAUUUAGCAUGUGAAGGCAGCGGCGCACAAGGAAAGAGGGGCUAGGGUUUCUGUUUUGAAAAUCAUUUUGGGCCAUUGUUGGCUUUGGGCUAGUGUAAUUGGGUUAGUGUAGUUGGGCUGAGGAUUUUUGUAAGGGACUUAAACUAUUAUUAUUAUUAUUUGGUAUUGUUGGCUUUGGGCUAGUGUAAUUGGGUUAGUGUAGUUGGGUUGAGGAUUUUUGUAAGGGACUUAAACUAUUAUUAUUAUUUGGUUUUAAUGUGUUUGGGCCUUGAGCAAAUUUAGCCAAUUACAAUAAGUAUACGGUCGGACUAAGAAUCCCAGGACGGUUAUCGUGGUCACUCAGAUGUAUGUACGCACUUUCCAAGCGUUGCAUUUGACUAGUGUGAUGCACUCGCUAAUGCUGGUUCCCUACGAUCUGGUUUGGAUCAUGGUGGAAGCUAGUGGCGUCAGCAACAAAACGGUGUCGCUUAUUGCGAAAUUGGGUUUGAAAGCUAUCCACCUCGGAUUCAAUCAACGGAUGCCAAAUUCCUAGGAAAAACGACAUAAAUUAGAGUCUAAGAUGCAUCUUCGUACUUUAAGAAUUAUUAGAGAGAAGAAAUUGGAUGGAAUUGUUAUGUUUGCCAAUGAUAGCAAUAUGCUUAGUAUGGAACUUUUUGAUGAGAUCCAAAAUGUGAAAUGGUUCAGGGCUGUUUCAAUUGGAAUACUUACUCAUUCGGUUAAUCCAGAUGAGAUGGCGGAUCAUAAAAAGGAUGAAGAGGAGAAUCUUAGAAUGCCUGUUCAAGGCCCUACUUGUAACGCCUCCGAUAUGUUAGCAGGAUGGCAUACUAUACAUUGCCAUUUGCUGGGAAAAGUGUGGUUUAUAUUGAUGAUCGGGCAACUGUGCUGCCCAGGAAGUUGGAGUGGUCAGGAUUUGUUUUGAAUUCUAGGUUGCUUUGGAAUGAUAGUAGUGAUAAGCCGAAAUGGAUUAAGAAUAUUGAUAUGUUGAAUGGUGUUAUUAAGAGUCCCCUGGGUUUGGUUAGUGACACUUCGGUGGUGGAGCCACUUGGAAACUGCAGUCGUCAAGUAGAAUUGUAAAAUAAAUCUAAAAUAAAACUUAAUGAACUAGGAUCUAUCAUUUCAAAUCAUUAAGAAUAAAUCAUGAAUAAAACUCAAUUAAGCCCUUUUAAAAUUUAAAAAUUAUUUAAAAAAAUCAUAAACAAAAUUUAUUAAAAAAGUUAUAAAAUUAUUAAAAAAUUAUUAAAAAAUAAUAAUGUCGACUGUCGAAACCAUUUUUUAAAGCGUUUGAAAAACGGGGUUCGACUUUUUGAAAAAUGAAAAUGAGAGUCGCCACCAACCUUUUUAGUUGUGAUUGGAUCACCUUUAUAAAACAUUUUGGUCUACGAAAUGCAAGAAAACAGGUCGGGAGUCGGUUACGCACAAGGAAGGAUUAGCACUGUAGCACCCCAAACCCGGCCCAGAAGUUAUGGCCGGAUCCGACAUGCCACAUCAAAAAUGUAAAAAAAAAAUUUCCAUUCUAAGUCCAGAAAAUCGUACUUGAUGUUCAAAAGAUUAAUUCAUUAAGGGUUAAAGUGAAUGGAAGCUGUGCACCAGGUAGGAAAUCGGAAAAGAGGUGGUGAGUCCAUCGGACUGCUUAAGUACCAAGCUCCCUUCGGAUCCAAUCCUAGACAUGCAUACCGCCAUUGCCACACCUUAACGUCAUGGAUAUUUCUAGGAAACUAAUUUGAUUAAGUCAUUUUUAGGAAAAGUGAUUAAUUUUGGAAAAAUACUUUCAUUGGGAAAGCUUUGCUUGUUGUCGUGUUAUUUUGAAAUCAACUGUUAUUUUUGAAAACGCGCCCUAAAGCUAUCCAAUUUCUACAGUUAAAAUAAGUAUUACCUAUCUUAGUAAUACAUAUUAAAACCAUCAAAAAUAAUUAAGCGGCCUUAUUACAUUUAAAAGCCCAAAAACUUCAAACGUAAAUAAAAGGAUGUCCAGUUCACCAGAAGAAAAUCAAACUUUCAGAACGGGUGGCCACUCCGAAUUCCCUCACAGCUCCAAGCCCACUAUGGUUGGGGAUUUCCUGCGUGGAUGAAAAUAAAAGGGGUAAGUUUGGGGAAACUCAGUAUGUAAAGAAAACCCAACCAUAGCCUAUAGCAGCUCAAACCACAGAAAUAGAAUAAGUUGGCCUUAGCCCAGAACAGAAUUCAGAAUAAAGCCCAUAGGCCCAUAGCAGAACAGAACAGAUAUUACAUGUUUAUGCAGAAACCCAACCAUAUCCAACCGUAUACACCCCCGUACCAACCUUACACCGUGUGGGGAGACAACUCGACCCACCCAACCGCUACACACCACAGAAUUUGCAGCAUGGCUGCCAGAACAGAUAAUGUGACAGAGUCACCAGAUACAGAUAAUCGUGGCAGAGCCACCAGAACAGAUAUAUGUGGCAGAGCCACCAGAUCAGAUAAUCGUGGCAUAGCCACCAGGACGCUUCCUCCAUAAUAUAACCCAUGUCCCCGUGCAACAGAUAUAUAAUCAUGGCAUACAUCAUACAGAAUCAGAUCAUCAUGCUUUUCAGUCAAAAUUAACCCAAGGGGAAUAACGGUAACUUUGCACCUAGGGGUAUAACAGUAAUUUUCCAUACAUAGGGGUAUUAUAGUAAUUUAGCUACUUUUAGAGUUUUCAUGCAUAUCCUAACUAUUUACAUACUAUCAGAACACUUACCGCGCAUACUUACCGAAUUGGGCCCGUUGGCCCAUGAACCGAUCUUUGGCCCAUUAAGCCCAAAUUAUCAAAAUGUACGAAAUCGCGCGUACUGCAGUUUAUUACUUUAGAUUACCAAAUAUACAAACCCAACUAUCUUACGAGCAUUCGCACACUCGCAAAUUCCCAAAAUACCGACUUUUUGGCAUUUCGGCUUUUCGGCUUUUGCCAAUCUAGUCUAUGAGAGGGUGUCAGUUACACACCUGUUUGCGACGAUAUGCUGACGAGAUCCACACACGAACCGCCUACAAUUGGAUUACUAACACGUUAAUCUAACUAUUCAAAUACAAACUACGUAUUAACCCCUUACAAUAUUCGGCCAACCACACCUACAGAUCAUAGUAAGCUUAUAAGAAAUCAAUAAGCAACUCAUUAACAAAUUUUUGUCAAUGUUUACCACAUAAUCAUAAUUUCACUGCAAGCUGUCUUCCUGAGCAACAGUCACUAAAUCAUUUAUCACUGGAGCUACGAAACUCCAAAUCAAGUGCCGUUAAUUUUCCCUGAAAAUAGACUCAUAUAUCUUUUAUCCAUAAAAUUUUCAGAAUUUUUGGUUUAGCCAAUCAAUACUAGAUUUUUCUCAAAGUUUCCCAUGUUUCACUGUUUGACUAAUCUGACCACUCUUCAUUACGAAUCAAAUUUCUCAUUGUACAGAAUUCAAAUUAUGUUCUUGUUUAUUUCAUUAGAAACUAGACUCAAUAAGCUUUAAUUACAUAAUUUAUUCAGCUUCUAAUUCAUCUCCCACAAUUUAUGGUGAUUUUCCAAAGUCACGUUACUACUGCUGUCCGAAGCAGAUUUAUUACCAAAUCACUCUUUCACACAUACAUUGCAUGCAUGUUAUUUAAACAUGUAUAUCACCAAUCAAUCAUCACAUAUCUAUGAUUUUACUUAAGUAUAAUCUCCAUUUCAUCAUUUUAAAGCACAACAUGUUAGCUGAAUUUUCCCUUUAACAUCUAAUGCACAUGCAUGCUCAUUUGUUUGGCUCAACUUCACCUAUCUUCCAUUUUUCAUCAAAAGAACAUGAAACAACAACCAUUUCCUUCAUUUUAAUUCAUGACUAAAUGCUCACAACACAACUAAAAAUCAAAAUAUACUUCAAGAGUUAAGGUAGAAUCAAGAAGAACUCACGAACCUCAAAAUAGAAGCAAGGUACCAAGAACUUACCUUCAAUUUUCCUCCUCCUAAUGACCAAAUACUCAAGAGCUUUCUCCUCUCCUUUCUCUUCUCUAACUUUCAGCUAUGAUGAACAAAGAUGGACAAAACUUUGUUCUUUUCAC